rnacentral:rRNA from 1 species
UACGGAGGGGGCAAGCGUUGUUCGGAAUUACUGGGCGUAAAGGGCUCGCAGGCGGCCAACUAAGUCAGGCGUGAAAUCCCUCGGCUUAACCGGGGAACUGCCUUUGAUACUGGCGAUCUUGAGUCCGGGAGAGGUGAGUGGAACUGCGAGUGUAGAGGUGAAAUUCGUAGAUAUUCGCAAGAACACCGGUGGCGAAGGCGGCUCACUGGCACGGUACUGACGCUGAGGUGCGAAAGCGUGGGGAGCAAACAGG